rnacentral:rRNA from 1 species
GACGAACGCUGGCGGCGUGCUUAACACAUGCAAGUCGAACGGUAAGGCCCUUCGGGGUACACGAGUGGCGAACGGGUGAGUAACACGUGGGUGAUCUGCCCUGCACUUCGGGAUAAGCCUGGGAAACUGGGUCUAAUACCGGAUAGGACUCCUGGGUUCAUGGUUGGGGGUGGAAAGCUUUUGCGGUGUGGGAUGGGCCCGCGGCCUAUCAGCUUGUUGGUGGGGUAGUGGCCUACCAAGGCGACGACGGGUAGCCGGCCUGAGAGGGUGACCGGCCACACUGGGACUGAGAUACGGCCCAGACUCCGACGGAAGGCAGCAGUGGGGAAUAUUGCACAAUGGGCGCAAGCCUGAUGCAGCGACGCCGCGUGAGGGAUGACGGCCUUCGGGUUGUAAACCUCUUUCAGCAUCGACGAAGCGAAAGUGACGGUAGGUGCAGAAGAAGGACCGGCCAACUACGUGCCAGCCGCCGCCGUAA